rnacentral:rRNA from 1 species
CCCUUAGAUGUUCUGGGCUGCACGCGCGCUACACUGAUGCGUUCAACGAGUUUAUGACCUUGCCCGAUAGGGUUGGGUAAUCUUUUUAAAUCGCAUCGUGAUGGGGAUAGAUUAUUGCAAUUAUUAAUCUUCAACGAGGAAUUCCUAGUAAGCGCGAGUCAUCAGCUCGUGCUGAUUACGUCCCUGCCCUUUGUACACACCGCCCGUCGCUCCUACCGAUUGAAUGGUCCGGUGAAAUCUCGGGACGGCGGCUUGGUCGCUUGCGUCCGACUGCUGAAACUUGAUUAAACCAUAUCAUUUAGAGGAAGGUGAAGUCGUANCA